rnacentral:rRNA from 1 species
AUGCGCACUUGGCCCUUGGUUGACUUUAUCAUUUAUCUUAUGCUGGCAUUUGUUGUAGUUGAAUGGAAUCUUUACUUGCUGAAACUUUGUGCCAACAGUGGCAGCCGUAAAAGCGAACACUUAUCACAUAUUCUUAGAUGGAGCCGCAACAUUUGCAUAAGGAGCUCCAUGAAACGCUCCAUUGCUCGUUCAUAUUAUUUUGCUGCACAGUUUGUGCCUGGUGAUGGGAGGGCUUGCAUUGCAUUUCUCAUGCCUGUACGGUUCCCGGUCAGCGGCAGCGCCAGUAUUAGGCGGCCUCCCUUGCUGCAUUUUUGUUUCAAUCUAUAUUUUCAUGGCCCCAAUGAUCCGGAGUCUGACAAUGGCGAAUUCACUUUACUACCAUAUAUAUGUUCACGCCUGAAACUUUUAAGGAUUUUCUGA